GGACGAACGCUGGCGGCGUGCUUAACACAUGCAAGUCGAACGAUGAAGCCCUUUCGGGGGUGGAUUAGUGGCGAACGGGUGAGUAACACGUGGGUAACCUGCCCUGUACCCUGGGAUAAGCCUUGGAAACGAGGUCUAAUACCGGAUAUGACCUGCUCUCGCAUGGGGGUGGGUGGAAAGUUUUGGCGGUGCAGGAUGGACCCGCGGCCUAUCAGCUUGUUGGUGGGGUGAUGGCCUACCAAGGCGACGACGGGUAGCCGGCCUGAGAGGGCGACCGGCCACACUGGGACUGAGACACGGCCCAGACUCCUACGGGAGGCAGCAGUGGGGAAUCUUGCGCAAUGGGCGAAAGCCUGACGCAGCGACGCCGCGUGAGGGAUGACGGCCU
rnacentral:rRNA from 1 species